GAUGAACGCUGGCGGCGUGCCUAAUACAUGCAAGUCGAGCGAACGGACGAGAAGCUUGCUUCUCUGAUGUUAGCGGCGGACGGGUGAGUAACACGUGGAUAACCUACCUAUAAGACUGGGAUAACUUCGGGAAACCGGAGCUAAUACCGGAUGAUAUUUUGAACCGCAUGGUUCAAAAGUGAAAGACGGUCUUGCUGUCACUUAUAGAUGGAUCCGCGCUGCAUUAGCUAGUUGGUAAGGUAACGGCUUACCAAGGCAACGAUGCAUAGCCGACCUGAGAGGGUGAUCGGCCACACUGGAACUGAGACACGGUCCAGACUCCUACGGGAGGGAGCAGUAGGGAAUCUUCCGCAAUGGGCGGAAGACUGCCGGAGCAACGACGCGGGAGUGAUGAAGGUCUUCGGAUCGUAAAACUCUGUUAUUAGGGAAGAACAUAUGUGUAAGUAACUGUGCACAUCUUGACGGUACCUAAUCAGAAAGCCACGGCUAACUACGUG
rnacentral:rRNA from 1 species